rnacentral:rRNA from 1 species
UAAUACGUAGGUGGCAAGCGUUGUCCGGAUUUAUUGGGUUUAAAGGGUGCGUAGGCGGCUUUGUAAGUCAGUGGUGAAAGCCGGUAGCUUAACUAUCGAAAUGCCAUUGAUACUGCAGAGCUUGAGUACAGUUGAGGUAGGCGGAAUUGACAGUGUAGCGGUGAAAUGCUUAGAUAUUGUCAAGAACUCCGAUUGCGAAGGCAGCUUACUAAAGUGUAACUGACGCUGAGGCACGAAAGUGCGGGGAUCAAACAGGAUUAGAUACCCUGGUAGUCCGCACCGUAAACGAUGAUCACUCGCUGUGUGCGAUAUACAGUACGCGGCUAAGCGAAAGCGAUAAGUGAUCCACCUGGGGAGUACGCCGGCAACGGUGAAACUCAAAGGAAUUGACGGGGGUCCGCACAAGCGGAGGAGCAUGUGGUUUAAUUCGAUGAUACGCGAGGAACCUUACCUGGGCUAGAAUGUGAAGGAAUGUUUUAGAAAUAGAACAGUCAGC